rnacentral:lncRNA from 1 species
AGCUAUUGAACUUUCUAGUUGACGGUGUCUUUUCCCCCCAGUAAAGAAUGUGUCUUUACAGCUAAAGGUAACAUUAAGUUCAGAAUCGAAGCCACAGAGUACAAGGGAUUGAUUUGCAGCAAAGCUGAUAACCCUCCAUUUUGGAAUGAAGCAUGGACAGAAAGAAGGCCUUACGAAACUGACAGCUUCCAUGACCUGUUUCUUAGAACAAUCACUCUUGAAAACCAGCCACCAUGCUGUGAGGAAGACCAAGCAAUCCCAUGGAGAAGCCCACAUAGAGAAGAACUGGUGGUCCCAGACUGAAGUCCUGCUGGGUCCUCAGACAACAGUCAGUACCAUUUUGCCUUUUAGGAGAGUGAUCUAUCAUAUAAAUGACUUCUCUGGAUCCAGAAAAGUCAAGUUCUUGACCUACAAAAUCAUGAGCAAAAUAAAAUUGCUCUUUUAAGACAUUAUCUUUUGGAAUAUUUUCACAGGCAACAGGCACCCAC